GUUUUUAUUGUAUCUGUGCAUUGAGGACAACGUUGAAAUUUAAAUAACUUGGAAGCGAACGGUGGUGUUGGUUGUAGGCGUGGUGCUACAAAAUGGAGAAAUUUGUAAAAAAUAACAUCAAUAUCAACUGUCAACAAGGACAAUGAAGAGGAGCUUGAUGUACAGCAUGCAGAAAAACGCAAAAGGGGAACGUCGCUGGUUUGGCAGGUCUUCAAAAAAUGCAAAGAGAGCAAUACGGCGAUAUGCAAUCAGUGCGGUUAGCAAUAUAAAACCGGUGGCAACACGACGAACUUAAUGGAUCACCUGAAGCGUAUUCAUCCUACGCUAUUAAAAGAACAGCCUUUUGAAAAGGAAAAUUGUAUGUCAAAGUUCUUGGAGCGUGAUAUCCCAUAUUCAAAUACUCCUGAAAAAAAAAAAAACGCAUUGACAAGUUGGUCGUAAAUAUGGUCGCAUCCGAUGCCUUCCCCCUAAAUGUGGUUGAUUGUGUCGGGUUAAAAAAGCUGAUCCAUGAACUAGAUCCGCGCUAUAAAAUGCCAAGUAAGACUCACCUGCGCAAUGUACUUUUAAAAGAUGAGUACAAUAAUUUAAAGGAUAAUUUAAAAGCACAACUGGAGCUUAUCGAAAGCGUCGCAUUAACAGCCGAUGGCUGGACAUCAAGAGCCAAUGAUUCUUACAUAACUGUAACUUGCCAUUUCGUAACGGAGUCUUUUGAGCUUGCUUCCAAAGUGUUGUCGACGAAUCAACUAGUCACGCCAACAAACCAUUCAGCUGUUAACAUUGCUGAUACUAUCAGUAAUGUUCUAAAUGACUGGGAUUUACUAGGUAAAGUCGUUUGCAUUGUAACAGACAAUGACGCAACAAUGAUAAAGGCAUGCGAGCAUCUCAAAAUCGUGCAUAUUCCUUGUUUUGCACAUACAAUAAAUUUAUUAGUGCAAGAUGUGUUAGAGCUACCAUGCGUUUUAAACAUUGUUUCAAAGUGCAAGCGUACAGUCGCAUUUUUUAAAUCUAGCAAUGUAGCGUAUGCGAAAUUUAAAGAAGAGCAAGGCGUUAAUAAGCCGUACGGUUUGAUCCAGGAGUUGGAAUAGUGCUCUUUUCAUGAUGCAGCGUAUUUUGGCGACAAAUGAAGUUAUUUCGAAAGUUUUAUUAAAAACGCGAAAAUCUCUACCGCCGUUUACCGCAGAUGAAAUAACAAUUAUAAGGGAACUGAUUGAGAUACUCAAUCCAUUUCAGGAUGCAACCGUAUCCAUUUCUGCAGACACAAAAGUGACUUUAUCAUUGAUUAUUCCCAUAUGCUGCGAGCUCCGCCAAAAAAAUAUCGGAAAUGAACAGUUUCAUAUCUUUAGAGGCUAAACAAGUCGUCGAGUACCUAAAAGUCCGAAUGCCAGAAAGAUUUUCAAAGUACGAGACGCGAACAGCGACAAGGCUUGCAACCAUUUUGGACCCAAGAUUCAAAAAGGAUGGAUUCCUGGAGCCAUCAAAUGCUGAGGAGGCAGCAGAAGCCUUAGAACUGGAAGUAUCCACUUUCUUAUCCAAAACUGUACAGCGUCCACAGCCACAACCAACACCACCGCAACCAAAACGCUUUUCUUUUAUGACCAAAAAGAUGGAAGAAAAAGUAAAAUCGAACGAGGGUGACGCCUUAAUAAUUUUGCGCCAGUAUUUUGAAGUAGCACAUGAAGGAGAAGGAAUGAAUCCACUUGAGUAUUGGAAGGCGCAUACAAACGAUAGAACAGCCUUAGCAAUGCUAUAAAAAAAAAUCUUAUGCGUGCCAGCAUCUUCCUGCUCUUCAGAGAGAGCAUUCAGCAAAGCUGGACAAAGUAUAUCGGACAGGCGAUGCGCAUUAAAACCCAACAUUGUUGAUAAAUUAAUGUUUUUAAAUAAAAAUUAUGAUCUCAAAUAAAAAAAUUCAUAACUGUUA